GUCAGCACCUGAUAUGUCACGCCAGCAGGGACUGAGAGCUCACAUCUCAAACCGGAAAUGGUAUCCGCCUUUUAAAUUCUCAAAUAUUGCCUCCAGCGAUAGUACUUCUUCCAUCAAAGCCACGCCUCCUAAAUAUCCCACCAGCUGAGGACGAAGGAUUCAAUCUCACAUUAUAGCCCCUAGAUGGCCUUGAAUUCACAGCAAUCCCACUGCCUCAGCUUCCUACAUGCUGCAGAAUUACUUGGCUUACGUCUGAUUAUAUAACAGAAGGCUGAGAAGAAUGGAUCUUAGAAGAUGGUAGGGGUGAAGGCUGGUAGAGAAAAACGUAAAGGUGGUGCCGGGGCCCUCACAGACCUGCUUCGUGACUUCCUUCAGUGGUGUUCCAAGAAGCAGGCUGUGGAUGUGGAGAAGGGUCUGUGGCCAGAGCUGCUGGACAGUGGUGGUGUGGAGAUUGCUGUCUCUGACUGGUGAGUGUGGGGACAGAAAUUGAUGGGUCCUUAGCUUAUCUGGUAUGAACAAGGACCUGAGAACAAUCCCCAACACCAGGGGCAGAGGAGAAUCAGUGUUGGCUAAAUUUUUCUACACAGUACCCAGCGAUAUUACAAAGUUCUGAUAGGAAAGGCUCACAGAGUACCCAUUACAUCCAAGGGUCCAGCAAAGUGAUGGCACAUACCUGAAAUCCCAGCUCUUAGGCCACGGGAUAGAAGUACUGGGAAUUCCUGGCCAUUUUAGCUACUUAGGGAGACCCUCUGUUUAGAACUAGGAGAGGCCUACUCAGGCCCCGUGUGUGUAAUAGAUGUGUCCCACCCCCAGAAACUCUUUCUCCUCCAUUCACCCAGCAGUGGACAAUCCUACUUGACCCUGUGUUUAUUUUUGGGAAGAUUUACCUACUAGGGAAUGGUGAUCUUGGAGAGAUCUCCUCCCCACCAGCUGCCUCUGGAUCCUCUCAAGGGUCCCUGUGCCCAACAUGGACCCUUGUCACGCCAUUUCUGCUUCCGGGAUUUCCCUGGUUCCUUGGUGAUGCACUCCUGUCGAAAGUCUGUCACUGCCAGUCAGCUAGGUCAACUCACGGUAAAUCUGUCUCUGGGGUAAGAGAAGAAGGAAGCACCUUCAUACAUGCGUGGUUCUCACGGCCUCUGUAAUUGUUGAAUGUUUUAAAAUAGUUUUCAUUUUGGGGCCUGAAGAUAUGGCUCAGCAGUUAAAAUUGAGUGUUGCUCUCACAGGGGACCUGUACUGCCUGGUUUUGUGUGUCAACUUGACACAGGCUGGAGUUAUCCCAGAGAAGGGAGCUUCA